AUCACGAGGCAACCGGUAACUAGGACGAGGUGUCCUUGUAGACUUAUAUCCAUCUUUUGGUAGGUGUCUCGGCAUUCAAUAGCUGUACAUUCGUUCGAGUCCCUCCGCUGGAAGUCGAGUAUUAUUUUGUUGUGUAUAGACGAACCUAAUGUAAAUUGUUAAGAUACAUGUUGUAGACAAUGUAUAUACACUUGUUUGGUAUGCCAGUAUGAGUUGGCAUUGUUUAAUAUUAUUUUGAUCCUAAGUUAUGAAAUGUGACUUAGCAGUUUAUAAUGGCAUGAUGAACAUGUCAGAUUGAUA
rnacentral:lncRNA from 1 species